rnacentral:misc_RNA from 1 species
GUGGAAGCGAGCCUGCUCGCGAUGGCGGUCAGACAGUCACUGAGUCGGUGGCUGUCCUACCGCAUUCGCGAGCAGGCUCGCUCCCAC